UACAAAGAGACAGUGGCCAUCUGCAAACCCUUUACCCAGCGUGGGAUCUAGCAGCACCUUGAUCUUAGACUUCCAGCCUCCAGAAUGCUGGACUGUAUACUCCGUGACGGUGACGCCUUUGUCUAAUGCCUGGAGAAGUUCUUGGCAUGGAGCAGUGCCCGACACAAAUGGUAGAAAACGAUGAAUGAAUACAUGAAUCACAGGCAGCCUAGGGCUUAAGGUCCUCUCACCGUUGUGACCCUCACUGGAGCCUAAACUGAAUUUUUAGUCUCCAAACUAUGAGAUAAAU